CUCUUGCCUCGAUCCUCGGCCACAACGCUCGCACUGGAACCUGUAUGGUUAGUGGUGUGAGAACUACAAGAAAGUUCCCAGUGGGUUCGGCCGUCGACCUCGCCGACUCACCCACUAGGUCUACUCAGGCAUAUGUAGGCAAGAAAAGUAAACUGAGAUAGUAACCAACUAUAAUAUGUAACCACUACAAUGCCUGUACAAAGCUGAAGGAAGUAGUAUAUGAAAACUGAAAAUAUGCAUGCAUGCUUUUCAUUAACUUUACCCAAUCUUUUGGUUAACCCUCUGGUUAACAAUAACUCAC
rnacentral:lncRNA from 1 species